UGGGGAAUAUUGCACAAUGGGCGCAAGCCUGAUGCAGCGACGCCGCGUGCGGGAUGACGGCCUUCGGGUUGUAAACCGCUUUCAGCAGGGAAGAAGCGCAAGUGACGGUACCUGCAGAAGAAGCGCCGGCUAACUACGUGCCAGCAGCCGCGGUAAUACGUAGGGCGCAAGCGUUGUCCGGAAUUAUUGGGCGUAAAGAGCUCGUAGGCGGUUUGUCGCGUCUGCUGUGAAAUCCUCAGGCUCAACCUGGGGCUUGCAGUGGGUACGGGCAGACUAGAGUGCGGUAGGGGUGACUGGAAUUCCUGGUGUAGCGGUGGAAUGCGCAGAUAUCAGGAGGAACACCGAUGGCGAAGGCAGGUCACUGGGCCGCAACUGACGCUGAGGAGCGAAAGCAUGGGGAGCGAACA
rnacentral:rRNA from 1 species